CAGACGGUCAACACUGGGAACGAGAUCCUGGAAGAAGCAAAUGCCAUCAGUUCCCCGAGGAGUGUCUUCACGGUUGAGGAGGAUGGAUGGUUUCUCCAGACUGUGGACACCGAAUGGUCUUGUGAGAGUCCUGACAUCCAAGAGGCCAAGAUCCCAGAAGACAACACUAGGGAUCAGGAGCUGGACGUGGAGAGCUUUGUCAGUUCCCCGAG